AGAAACUAACAAUCAUAGUCCAUCACCGUGCUACAGUUCUCGUUUGCAGUUUGCUAUCGCAGUUCAAGUUCGCCAUUCACCGUCGCAGUUCGAGUUUGACGUUCACCCUUCACCGUCGCGGUUCGAGUUCGCCGUUCACCGUUCGCCGUUCGCCGUUCGCCCUUUUGUUUCCUUCU